GAUGAACGCUGGCGGCGUGCCUAAUACAUGCAAGUCGAGCGAACGGACGAGAAGCUUGCUUCUCUGAUGUUAGCGGCGGACGGGUGAGUAACACGUGGAUAACCUACCUAUAAGACUGGGAUAACUUCGGGAAACCGGAGCUAAUACCGGAUAAUAUUUUGAACCGCAUGGUUCAAAAGUGAAAGACGGUCUUGCUGUCACUUAUAGAUGGAUCCGCGCUGCAUUAGCUAGUUGGUAAGGUAACGGCUUACCAAGGCAACGAUGCAUAGCCGACCUGAGAGGGUGAUCGGCCACACUGGAACUGAGACACGGUCCAGACUCCUACGGGAGGCAGCAGUAGGGAAUCUUCCGCAAAGGGCGAAAGCCUGACGGAGCAACGCCGCGUGAGUGAUGAAGGUCUUCGGAUCGUAAAACUCUGUUAUUAGGAAAGAACAUAUGUGUAAGUAACUGUGCACAUCUUGACGGUACCUAAUCAGAAAGCCACGGCUAACUACGUG
rnacentral:rRNA from 1 species